CGGCUGCAGCCAUAUCAAUUGGGAAGAAACACUGGUCGGCUCGCUGUUUUAUGGAUCAAUCGGCGACUCGCUUACCGAUCUUCCCACAUUC